rnacentral:rRNA from 1 species
UCGGGAAUUUUGUGCAAUGGGCGAAAGCCUGACACAGCAACGCCGCGUGAAGGAUGAAGUCCCUCGGGAUGUAAACUUCGUAAGAAUAGGAAGAAUAAAUGACGGUACUAUUUGUAAGGUCCGGCUAACUACGUGCCAGCAGCCGCGGUAAUACGUAGGGACCAAGCGUUGUUCGGAUUUGCUGGGCGUAAAGGGUGCGUAGGCGGCAUAUCAAGUCACUUGUGAAAUCUCCGGGCUUAACUCGGAACUGCCAAGUGAUACUGAUGUGCUAGAGUGCAGAAAGGGCAACUGGAAUUCUUGGUGUAGCGGUGAAAUGCGUAGAUAUCAAGAGGAACACCUGAGGCGAAGGCGAGUUGCUAGGCUGACACUGACGCUGAGGUACGAAAGCUAGGGGAGCGAACGGGAUUAGAUACCCUUGUAGUCCCUGAGCGGGCUGGCAAGGCGCAU